GACGAACGCUGGCGGCGUGCCUAACACAUGCAAGUCGAACGGAAAGGGUCGGCAUUUGUGGGGUGCGCGAGUGGCGAACAGGUGAGUAUCACGUGAGUGACCUGCGCCUGACUGCGGGAUAACACCUGGAAACAGGGGUGAAUACAGGAUAGGAGCUCCUGCUGCACGGGGGGGGUGGGAAAGUGUCGGCGGUUCGGGAUGGACUCGUGGCUCAUCAGCGUGUUGGUGAGGUAGUGGAUUACCGGGGCGUUGAGGCGUAGCCGGAUUGAGAGUGUGACCGGGCACAAUGUGACUGAGGUACGACCCAGACGGCUACUGGGGGCAGCAGUGGGAAACAUAGCGAAAUGGGCGGAAGCCGGGUGCAACGACUUCGCGUGCGGAAUGACUGCCUUCAGGGUAGAAACCGCGUUAGCCUGGAACGCAGCGUGAGUGACGGUAAUUGGUAAAGAAGCAACGGCUAACUACGUG
rnacentral:rRNA from 1 species